rnacentral:rRNA from 1 species
UACAGAGGGGGCAAGCGUUAUUCGGAAUUAUUGGGCGUAAAGGGCGCGUAGGCGGCCUGGCAAGUGGAAGGUGAAAUCCCUCGGCUUAACCGAGGAACUGCCCUCCAAACUGCUUGGCUUGAGACCGGGAGAGGUGAGUGGAAUUCCCAGUGUAGCGGUGAAAUGCGUAGAUAUCAGGAGGAACACCAAUGGCGAAGGCAGCACUCUGGGACGUGACUGACGCUGAGACGCGAAAGCGUGGGGAGCAAACAGG